UACGGGGGGAGCAAGCGUUGUUCGGAUUUACUGGGCGUAAAGGGCGCGUAGGCGGCCACCGCAAGUCAGUUGUGAAAUCUCUGGGCUUAACCCAGAAAGGUCAACUGAUACUGCGGGGCUAGAGUGCAGAAGGGGCAACUGGAAUUCUCGGUGUAGCGGUGAAAUGCGUAGAUAUCGAGAGGAACACCUGCGGCGAAGGCGGGGUGCUGGGGCUGACACUGACGCUGAGGCGCGAAAGCUAGGGGAGCGAACGGG
rnacentral:rRNA from 1 species